CAGAGCUCGAAUUUAAAACUCCUUCUUCAGUCAGCAUGUGAGAGGAGCAUGUAAAUCUUUGAGGAGAUACGUGAUGCAAAAAUAAAUGUUCAUUAAAUCAUAUCUGCGUUUCUGAUCCCAAGCUCACACCUGCUUCCAAAUAGUGAGAGUGGCUCCCCGCUCCCUCCCCACCAAAGGGUAUUAAGGUGUGGGAUUCUGUUUUCAUUUUCUCUCUUCAUCAGCACUGAUAUCCAGUUUCCAUCACAGCUGUCAGGGCUGCUGAGCAGAGCCACAUGACAGGAUGCGUAGACUCAACUCGGCAAUGGCUCAGAUGGAAACAAACGCAUUAAUAAAAGAAGUAGCUGCAGUCUCUGUGGCUGAGGAAGAUGGAGUCUGGAGUGAAGGCUAGCCACCUCCGCAGGAAAACUUGGGGCAACUCCUUCCUUGGAGCUGAUAAAGAAACACACAGAGGAGAUGGCUAAUGGCUCAGUGGUAAAGAAUCCACCGGCAAAUACAGGAGGCGUCUAGAGCGUGGGAGCCGUAAGCACUGAAGCACAUGCGCCCUAGAGCCUGUGCUCCACAAAAAGAGAAGCCACUGCAAUGUGAAGCCCUCGCCCCUCGAAGAAGAGUAGCCCCUGCUCGCUGCAACCAGAGAAAAGCUGGCACAACAACGAAGACCCAGUACAGCCACAAAAAAGCUAAAUAACAAAUAAUUUAAAAAUAAAAAACUAAACAAACACACAGAGGGAAAAAGUUAUUUCUCUCUGCUAAAUUAGGACUGCCAGGGGACAGGUUCCCCUGCCACAAGCGAUCAGUAGGAGAGAACAACCGUGAGAGGAAGACCCAAAGCCAGAUGCGGAGAAAGAAUGGCCCCAGUGACCUCCAGGUCCGUCUCUUAGCUCCAGUUCCUGAAGCCCUGCCGCCAGGACUUUCUCGCGAAAGGCCCCUGGACGGUUACUUACAUGAGAAUCAUGCGGAUAUGCAGUUAGAAUUUCAUUGGCUUUUUUGCUAAGAGACUUUUCAUCUAAUAUUUGAUCAUGAAAUAAAGUAACAUUUUCUUCCUAACUGAGUGCAUCUGUUCAUUCACUGUCCCUCCAAGUUUUCUGUCUCAUGUUUAGGUUUAAUCCAUUUGAAGUCCACCCUGUCUGGGUUUCUCCCCAAAGUUCCAUUCAGACUAUCUGGUUUGGAAUUUUGGGGGGUUUCCUACAUCUGAGAAUUUGAGUCUUUCUACAAUUUUGGAAAUUUUGAGUAUC
rnacentral:lncRNA from 1 species